UAAGGGAGAGAGUUUAAGGGAAGUUACCACAAGACCACAACCUCUCCACUAAACUGAACGUGGGUGAAUGAUGGGUUUCUUUCUCAAUCGAUAUUUUCUCUGCCUAUUUAUAUGAAAGAGAUAAUAUAGAACAAGUAAUGCGUAAGAUUUUUUCUCUAACUCAAGAAUUUUCUCUGACUCUCUUCUUCUCCCAACGAAGAACACACACAAGUAAGUGCAUCUGAUUGGUGGAAGAUUAACUUUGUUUCCUAGUAAUUCAAAGUUCGAUUUGGGGCAAUUGUUUCGGUGGUGUGUUCAACAACGGUUUCCGCUGCAUCUACAAGGUACACAAUUUGUUGUUCUCUCCUUCGGUUUAAUCUAACAAUAGUAUCAGAGCUUGUGUUGUAUUUUUUUUGAAUUGCCUCGUAGAGAGAUAC
rnacentral:lncRNA from 1 species